rnacentral:rRNA from 1 species
GAUGAACGCUAGCGGGAGGCUUAACACAUGCAAGUCGAGGGGUAUAGUAGCAAUACUAGAGACCGGCGCACGGGUGAGUAACGCGUAUGCAACCUGCCCUUUACAGGGGGAUAGCCCGGAGAAAUCCGGAUUAAUACCCCAUAGUACUAUUUUGUCGCAUGGCAGGAUGGUUAAAGUAACAACGGUAAAGGAUGGGCAUGCGUGACAUUAGUUUGUUGGCGGGGUAACGGCCCACCAAGACUACGAUGUCUAGGGGUUCUGAGAGGAUGAUCCCCCACACUGGUACUGAGACACGGACCAGACUCCUACGGGAGGCAGCAGUGAGGAAUAUUGGUCAAUGGGCGCAAGCCUGAACCAGCCAUCCCGCGUGAAGGAUGAAUGCCCUAUGGGUUGUAAACUUCUUUUAUGUACCAAGAAUAUGCCUUACGUGUAGGGUAUUGACGGUAGUGCAUGAAUAAGCAUCGGCUAACUCCGUGCCAGCAGCCGCAGUAAUAC